rfam:Wickerhamomyces ciferrii, NRRL Y-1031 F-60-10, WGS project CAIF01000000 data, contig: 00264
GGAGAGUUGGCCGAGUGGUCUAAGGCGGUAGACUUAAGAUCUACUGGACGGUUGUCCGCGCGAGUUCGAACCUCGCAUUCUUCA